rnacentral:lncRNA from 1 species
UGUCAAAGAUAAAUGCAUCAACACUGACCAAAAGAUCCACUGAUAAAGAAGAGAUGGACAACACAGUUAUACAUAUCGUAAGCAUAGCACAAUUAAGACCUGAAGUUAGUAAAUAUAGGAAUGUCACAUCACAAACUACUAUAGAUGAUGAAAAUAUCCAUUUGUGUAACAUGAUCCUUUUCUCUUCUUUUUUUGGGACAAGUAUUUGUGUAACAGGAUCUUUGCAUGCACUACUUAUAUCAUAUUCUAUACUGGAUACUUCUCUGUACUUUUAUUUCAGAAGAUAU